AGUUAACUGUCGCAUGUAUAAAAAACAUGAUAUGUUCUAGUAGUUUGUGAUGAAGCAAAGCUACUCAGCAGUUUCUGGCUGAUAGCUAGGUUCGUGCCUGUUAAUUUUGCUGAUCAUGGAUGUCUUGUUGUUUUACUAAAGAAAUCAAUUGUAAAAUGAUUAAUUUAACUUCGAUUCAUCGUCAUGCUAGUAUAUCAUCAUAACGGAAAUAGUCAUAUUAAGUGCAUGGUUGUGAACUGAGACUCCCAUUCUCUUUAGUUUGGUUUGGUGCUUAAAUUUCUUUCUUUUCAUACUUGCACAGGAUCUUGUUUCAAGAGGUGAGGAGCAGGGGCGGAGCUGCGGUCAGUGCUACCGGCGCUGUAGCAACGGUCUAGCUGCUAGCCAAAGGUUGUCUUGAAGGUUGAAGUUUGUGGUUCGGUAGCUACGGUGUUUUUCCCGAGGAUCCUGUUUGAAGAGGUGAGGAGCAGGGGCGGAGCUGUGGCCGGUGCUACCGGGGCUGUAACACCGGUCUAGCUGCUAGCCAAAGGUUGUCUUCAAGGUUGAAGUUUGUGGCUCAGUAGCUACAGUGGUUUUCCCGAGAUCCAUUUUCUUUCCCAGCCCGUGUUUUUCAGCUGUCUUGCAUGUGAAGUAAAUGUGAUGUAGGAGGUCAUGUAAGUUUGCUGUGAUCACUGAUCACGAUGUUGGUAUGCAUCUAUAUUCAUAUGUCAUCUCAUGUGUUUAGCCAGAGUUCACACAAUUAUUUGUUCGAGAUUUGAGUAACAAUGUCCUAAACAACCAGGAAGUAGAUAGCUUGAAUUAAUGUGCAGUACUGUAAAUUUUUGCCACCUAAUAUUGAAAUACGUGGCUACAUGGAAGUCAUACUAUCCAGUUCUAUAUGCUUAUUAUGAAAAUAGUACUGUAUUUCAAAUGCCUUUUUACUCUUGUUAUGAGGUUACUAAGGCUGCACCGGUUCUAUUUCUUGGUCUGUACAAAAUUGGGAAUUUAUUACUCCUACUGUUUAUUACUAAUACUGUUUAUGUUUCUCUUCAUGUUCUUUUGUUACAUUUAUGUAGUUCCUCUAUUAGAUGUGUGUAGCAGGGAAAUUUCAAUAAUUAUGCUGCUUGGCUGAUCCAAUUUUAAUAAUUGUGCAUUGUGCUUUAUUGAAAUGCAUGUGCUGCUGCCUAAAUGGAAAGAGGAAUUGAAAUGCAUGUGCUGCUGCUCCUUUUUUUUGAAUGAUUGAUUUAAAUUUUUGCCUACUGCUCGUUGUCUCGCUUGCAAGUUUAAGCUACUUGUGAUCUUACUUUUAUUUGUGCUACUUCUUUACAAAUGGUUUCUUACACUCUGAGAAUGAAAACAUGUAAGUGUUGCUACUUCAGAUUGUGGUGUCAGUCCAAAUGCUAUUUCUUCUCUGAUCUGGUACUUGCCUUAAUCAAAUGCUAUUUUGAUUGCCUUGUGGCAUGUAGAUGUAUUCUUUGCUGCCUCAUCGUGUGGAUCUGAAGUCAAAACACACUCCUUGGAGCUGACCAAUCUUGUUUUGUUCUUGUUGGAGGUUAUUGAGGAGGACUAGGUGCCCGACAAGCUAGCUAGGAGCUGCAGCCAGAUGCGAGGAAGCUGGAAGACAUCAAGCCUGGAAGUUUGAUGAUCUGCCAUAUAUAUUUCAUUCCUUGUAAUAAUUAACUGUCCAUCCGCCCCAGGCUGGUGAUCUAUUUAGUGCUGCACCUAUUGCUCGACACCCAUUGCCGGCAUGAGGAGUUGGUGGCGACAGCAGCUGCAUCCUUCCCCGGGUCAUCCUCUGUGGGCUGGCGCAGUCCCUAGGCUCCGUGCUCGCGGCCUCCUCCGACAUGCUCGCUGGAAACUAGGCCAUGCUCGCUGCCGCCGAGCUGCAGCUGGGGGAGAUGGUGGUGGGGUCCUUUAACGUCGCCAAGUUCCUGGCAACCGUGACCGCAUCCUCAUGCGUAAGGCCGCUCUCCAUGGUUUGGCGCAUCGCCUUGGUUCUAUCCUCACAGUCUCUUCUGAUGUCCUUGCCGAGAACAAGGCUGUGUUUGCUAAUGUCGUU